UUUAACAUACUUAGACUUACUUAAUUAGUAUCUAAAUAAUAUAAUGGAUCUGCUGAUAUUUUCCUUAACCACUGUAUACGAAUAUUAAACACACAAAAUAUCUCGCUCAAAGCGUCGCAAGAGCGGCCCACUUUCCAGAUGCAAAAGGAUUAAACAAAGAUUAGCGAGAUUGCUAUAAAUAUUAAAAAAUCGAAUUUUCUACAGACUCGCCAUGAAUCGUCGAAAAUGUCGAAACGUUCCUUAUUCUUCAUUCGGCGCUCUUUUCAGUAAUUUUCACCGAUCCGCGCACAAUAAGAAGAUAAACAAGCAGCUAGAAGAAGCAGAGGGAGGCGGCGAACAGUUGUCACCAGACAUGAAUGGGAAGGUUUUUCGCGAGCCACAGAAAUGAAACGAACGACUAUUGAACCAACCGAUUGUUCGAUGGUUUCGCAGUGUUAUUUUUAUAAUUCACUAUAUUCUCGAUUCUCCUGCGGUGGCUCUCGUGGCAAAGCGUGGUGUUGUUUUUAUUGGCUGCAUUUAGGGAAUGGAAUAGUGGAGGCCGACGAACAGGAAAGGGAUCGAGCGAGAAAAAGGCGGCCACAACGCUGAAAGAGGGGAGAAUCGGUGGGAACGGGGUGUUAUUCCAUCCCUUCUAGCAGCGCCGUCUAUUCUAUCCGGUAGCACCUACGUUCUAGUGCCUAAACCGAGCUAGAGGUAGGAUAGUACGAGUUUUAGGGGUGGCAAGACACGAUUCGAGGGGCUGAAGAGAGAGAGGAAGGACGUAGUGUUGUGGAGAAGGGGAGUGAAACGCGAAAGCACGCACGACUACCAGGGUUGACAAUACCACAAUCAUCCAGUGUUAUUUCAGUACGAAUUUCUUCUGCCCACCCCGUCUUCCUUUCUCUUAUUGUGUUCUCUCUCUCUCUCUCUCUCUCUCUCUCUCUCUCGUUUUUCCUCCGUUUCCCCCUUCCAUUUUUCUCUCCUCUUUUCCUAUCGUUUCUUCCUCUUCCUCUAUUCAUUCUCCUAUUUUCAACAUUUCGACAAACUUGUUCGUCUGUCUUUAUCCUGGAUGCUCCGGGAUCUGGCCAUUUUGCUAGAAGAAAAACAUCUCUCGCCUUUUAUCCGCAAUUAUCACUUUGUCGGGUUCUUUUUCUAUUUUAUAGAAAACUAUGAACUCACGAUCCCGAAAAUUAGGCGUCACUCUUCCGGAUUGGAAGGAGGCUUCUUUUUGUUUGAAAUAUACCCCGGGAUUCUGAACGAGUGGCAUCUGUAAUAACAACGUCCGUUCUUGCAGCUCUCCCUAUACGUAGCGUCGCUACGUGAACGCUACGUGAAAUGGAUUUCUGGAAGCCCGUUCAGGCUCUGAUUAACCACAUUUACGCGGGAACACUAAUCCCGACGAAAGAUCCAUUACCGAUAAUAGUUUCAUGGACAAAAAAUAUUUCCUUGAGAAUUAUUUUCCUGGAGAACCGGAAAUGAAGGAAAAGAAAAUGAUAUCUAAGGAAGAAGCAUUUUUACAUACGAUGUAAUGACUCAUUACUAUAAGAGGAACUGAAUGAACCAAGUUGUACACUGGCCACAAACCGUGACGUUAUUUGGUUAUCAUAGCAAACCUAACACAACAUGGUUUGUUAUUUAACAAAUCAAUUGGUUCCAUCCUCCUUUUUCAGCGUAAGUAUCAUUCCUUCUAUGCCUUUCUUCUUUACGUUUAUUUCUUCUUAAACAAUUUUUUUAGGUUAUAUCAUUCGACUCGGUUUGUCUAUUCGUGAAAAAAACAUUAAUUGUAUUAUUGGCAUAAAUUUUAUUGUUUUUAAUAAUGAUUUUCACAGAGAAAAGAUGUUUUGAAGUACUUGUAAAUAAUUCAUAAUUGCAAGUAAUGUUACGUAUAAUGAUAAUCUAUAGAUAUACCAUAUUGCCUUGAGAUAUAAAAUAGGGAGAAAAAUUAACACACUAGUAAUUUGAUAUUUGUACGUAUGUCAAAGGUAAAAUGCAAAGUCGACGAUUGACGAUGUCUUCGCGUAUCUUUCUUGUACUCUUUACUGAAGUAUGUCGGAAUAGAAAGAGAGGGAGAGAGAAAUACUCUGUCGCCACCUUCUUAAAGCCAACGAAAAUAUUGUUUUACGUAAAUAUACGUUCGCGAUGAACCACUUUUAUCCUUUCCUUUUCACGCCUUUUAAGCGAUAGAGCUGUAAUUGUCAGCACUUUGUCAUCAAGAAUUUUGCCAGCUCCAAUUGCAGGAAUAUGAACAUAUCGUAGAAAGCAUGCAUCGAUUUAAUUUUAAUUAGUCAGCACUUCUAUAAGAUUUCUUCGGUAAUUGUAUAGAUUUUUGAUAAUAAUAUAUUGGAUUACAAAUUUAUGAAUUUUCGGAACAAUCUAAUAAAUUAAAGUAAACCGUGCAUUUUUAAAUCUUAUAAUUAAAUAAACGAGAAUCGAUCAAAAUUAAUUUUACUUUUUACUUUUUAGGUAAGUUUCUUCCUUCGUUAUGUGCAAUUCUACAAAUAACACAAAUCUAUACAUCUACAAAUAAUUACGAUAUAACUAAAAUUAUCAGUGUUCGUGGUAUCAUGGGGUCAUAUACUUCAAAAAGUAUGAACGAAUAAACGAAGAAGUGAUCCAUUAGGUAGGAAGCCCCAGCUGACACACCCUGACGCUAUCAAAACACGCCUUAAAACUUAUAUUCCUGCGUAACGGCAUGGUAGUGGUGGAAAAACUGCGUACGUGAGAUAAAAUAACAGAGUGUAGUUAACAGGCUUGGGUAAAAAUAUUCAGCCAGCUUCCACCAUUCUCCCUUUCCUCUCUUCCUCUUUUUCUCUUUCAUUCUCCCUCCCCCUCCUAUUUUCCUCCUCUCACCUUUGAUUCUUUUAUUCUCUGUGAUUACAAUGAAUCUUUCUAAGGCUUAUCUAUUUGUUACAUAAAAUUUUAUAAAACACUAUUUUUUUGAAGCUUUAACAUUGGGCACUUUCAAAAACAUCGCAAUUUUUAAUGCAUGCAACAUUGAAAACCUGUUGAUAUACUCCUAUCUUUUACAUUUAAAUUUUGAAAUAUGUAAAAACAAACUUUAAUUAAUAACUAAAAGAUGAUACCCUUUUAAUAACUAAUUUCCCAUAUAAGUUUAAUAAGUCAUUUUUUAAUGUACGAUCUGAUAUUACGUACGUUUUUAAUAAUUGUAUAAAAAAUAAAACA